GCCUAGCCAUAAACUUUGAUUAUCCGCCAGAGUACUACGAGCUACAGCUUAAAACUCAAAGGACUUGGCGGUGCUUUACACCCCCCUAGAGGAGCCUGUUCUAUAAUCGAUAAUCCCCGAUAAACCUCACCACCUAUUGCCAAUACAGCCUAUAUACCACCGUCCAGCCCGCCCUUUAAAGGGUAAACAGCAGGCAUAAUUAUAAACAUAAAAACGUCAGGUCAAGGUGUAGCAGAUAAGGUGGAAAGAAAUGGGCUACAUUUUCUAACUUAGAAAACACGGAUGAUUCUAUGAAAUAGUUUCUGAAGGAGGAUUUAGCAGUAAAAAGAAAUAAGAAUGUUCUUUUUAAAACGGCAAUAAAGCGCGC
rnacentral:rRNA from 1 species